GAUGAACGCUGGCGGCGUGCCUAAUACAUGCCAGUCGAGCGAACGGACGAGAAGCUUGCUUUUCUGAUGUUAGCGGCGGACGGGUGAGUAACACGUGGAUAACCUACCUAUAAGACUGGGAUAACUUCGGGAAACCGGAGCUAAUACCGGAUAAUAUUUUGAACCGCAUGGUUCAAAAGUGAAAGACGGUCUUGCUGUCACUUAUAGAUGGAUCCGCGCUACAUUAGCUAGUUGGUAAGGUAACGGCUUACCAAGGCAACGAUGCAUAGCCGACCUGAGAGGGUGAUCGGCCACACUGGAACUGAGACACGGUCCAGACUCCUACGGGAGGCAGCAGUAGGGAAUCUUCCGCAAUGGGCGAAAGCCUGACGGAGCAACGCCGCGUGAGUGAUGAAGGUCUUCGGAUCGUAAAACUCUGUUAUUAGGGAAGAACAUAUGUGUAAGUAACUGUGCACAUCUUGACGGUACCUAAUCAGAAAGCCACGGCUAACUACGUG
rnacentral:rRNA from 1 species